GCCCCCGGGUCGGGGUAGCCGGGGUGGCUGCGGGGUCGGUGUAGUCGGCGGGGUGGGUUGUCGCGGUAUUGCUGGUGGCUCGGCCGUUGGCGGCGGAUCGGACGCAUACGUGCCGGGGCGCCGAGGGCUGCGGCGUGACGGGCGCCCGGUUGUGCCUGCAGGUGCGCGCAGGUGCCGGCAGGUGCGCGGGGCGCGGCCCCCAGAGCGGCCGGCCGCGGAGCCUCGGGAGGAGGUGCUGUUGAUGUCAUGGUGCUGCCAGCUUGGGGAGUGAAGACCGGAAACAGGCGAUCCAGGGCCCCCCGGCGCAGGACCGGUGCCCCCUCUCAGAGGAUGGGGAGAGCCUGCCCAGGUCGGGGCCCAAGGGUGGAGCCACCCAGCCGGCUGAGAAGGGGACUUCCCUGGUGGUGCAGUGGUUAAGAAUCCACCUGCCAAUGCAGGGGACACUGGUUCAAGCCGUGUUCCGGGGCAAUCCCACAUGCCGCGGAGCAGCUAAGCCCGUGCGCCACAACUACUGAGCCUGCGCUCUAGAUCCCGCGAGCCACAACUAUUGAGCUCACGUGCCACAACUACUGAAGCCCGCGCGCCUAGAGCCUGUGCUCCACAACAAGAGAAGCCAGCGCGAUGAGAAGCCCACGCACAGCAACGAAGAGUAGCCCCCGCUCGCCGCAACUAGAGAAAGCCCGCGCGCAGCAACAAAGACCCAACGCUGCCAAAAAAAAAAAGAAAAAAAGUAACCAGGUAUACUGUAUUUCAUCUAGCAAGCCUAAUCAUAACAGGAAUGCUGUCCCCUAUUAACAGUCCAGCCAACACUAAAAUAAAGAAAACGGGAGAACUAUCUAUGAUCAUACCCCCGAAAAGAUAACUUUGAAAACAACUAGACUGUAUCUUGCCCAGGUUUUAUA